CUUGUAGUCUUUUCCAAAUGUGACUCUGAGCAAAUGAAGAAAAAGCUCUUGACAACGAAACGGCACUACAGUGUUCUGAAUAGCUGACAACAAGGAAACAAAUCACAGACCUGCGUCACAGGGAUGCACCUUUUACCAAAGCAGGGUUCCCGAAACAUGGAGAGCCCCCCGGAGGACCAGUGAUAGGCUGCAUAGGAUGAGAUUCAAGUGUGUUUGGUUCUCACCCGCUUUCUGCGAGAUGAAAGCAGAAAAGACCACCGUGGGAGAAAAGAAAACCCAAUCUGCUUGACUGCCGUGCUAAUCUACGCGUUCCCCUGCUCUCUUGGUCAGCUUUUGCAGCGCCUGCUGCUCUGCGGCACUGCUGACCUGGUCAUGAUGGUUAAUGCUGCUAAAAAAUCUCAUCACUGCUUUUGAUCGCUGCAUUGUCUUCUUGGCGUUAUCAGUGAAGCGCCGGCUGAAAUGACCUACUAAAGUUCCAGCCUGUUGGACUCUUCCCCGAGGCUUUUUGUUUGUUUGCUUACUUGCGUUGUUUCUUCUUCAAAACAAGAUAUAGGCAAAACAUAAAGAUGCGUGAGCAGUUGACGUGUGGGGUCAACCCCGAAUCAUGUGCAGGAAAGAAUACAAAACAUAACAUAUAAAUGCAAGGCAUGGGUGAUCUUAUAGUGUCCAUUUUAUCCACAUAUUCUCCCCAGAGUAUUCUCAAAGACAACCUCACAUUUGGGCACACCCUGUUCUCUUCAGAGAUGAAUUCUCAAGCUUUAGUUAUAACAAGAAAAAAAGGAAGCCAUGAACAAUUCACCUGCUCCCCAUCUUCAGAUAACCAAAGAAGCUCAGUGGACACAUGGAUCUGAAAGAGGGUGUGGCUUGCCUCUUGGUCCUUUCACUCCACCCACAUCAUCUAACCUCCUCUCUCACUCAAAUUAAUUUUUCAAGAAGUGAAAAACAACAGAACUCUCCUGAAAAUGGGCAAUCUUUGUUAAUCACUUGAGGAUCUUCUAACACUUGCCAAAGAUUAAUUGUUAAUAUCAAGAAAAUAAAG
rnacentral:lncRNA from 1 species